rnacentral:rRNA from 1 species
AUGGGAUGGAAGAAAAGGCAACUUUCAACAGGAGGAAAGGAAGUGCUACUCAAAUUAGUUGUACAGGCUAUACCAUCUUAUGCAAUGUUGAUUUUCAAAAUUCCAAAACAGAUUUGUAAAGGAAUUACAGAUGCGAUGUCGCAUUAUUGGUCCGGUGAUAGUGACAAUCAGAGGAGAAUACACCGGUUUGCAUGGUGGAAGUUGUGUGUGCCAAAGAAAGAAGGUGGAAUAGGAUUUCGGGAUAUUCAUUGUUUUAACCUAGCCUUGCUUGCGAAACAGGCUUGGAGAUUAAUUGGUAAUUUGGAUUCCCUUUGUGCCCAUGUUCUCAAAGCCAAAUAUUAUCCAGAUUGUGAUAUAUUGAAUGCAACUCUGGAAAAGAGAGCCUCAUUCACAUGA